rnacentral:rRNA from 1 species
UACGUAGGGUGCAAGCGUUGUCCGGAAUUAUUGGGCGUAAAGAGCUCGUAGGCGGUUCGUCGCGUCGGCUGUGAAAACCUGAGGCUCAACCUCAGGCCUGCAGUCGAUACGGGCGGACUUGAGUACUGCAGGGGAGACUGGAAUUCCUGGUGUAGCGGUGAAAUGCGCAGAUAUCAGGAGGAACACCGGUGGCGAAGGCGGGUCUCUGGGCCGUAACUGACGCUGAGGAGCGAAAGCGUGUGGAGCGAACAGG